UCCUGCAUCCUCCUGUUUCAUCCACGCAGUUACAUACAGCGUGCCAGCCGCCUUUAUUCGCAUGGCUUUCUGCUUGUGAUUUUCGCCUCCUAUCCCGAGUCUGAAACCUCUGAGCCUGGUUUGUUUCCUCUGCGGUGCGGCACUUGUCUCCCUGGCUCGGAGCACUCAAACUGUAUCAGUGCCACACUUGAGGCCCAGACAGACAGGCAGGAGAGGCUGUUCUGUCAGGACGUGUCACCGCAGGAUCCAGCAGAAAAAUAAUAUCGUGAUGAGGAGAUGAGGCUUGUGGAGCCCUGAAACUCACAAUCAAACCAGCGAAAGAUUUUGAGAGAAAGAGGAAACAAAGAGAAGAAUUCAUCAACGAUCAGUCAGGUGCCCGGGUGGAGGUACGAUCACAACAGAGCAGAGGGAGAGAGGACACAGCCAGGGAGGGAGAGAAGAGGAGGAGGAUGGAGACAGGAGAAGGAGGAGGAGGAAGAGGAGAGGAGGGCAAGCAGAGGAAAAGGGAGGAUGAAGUUCAAAUAAGAGGACAAUGGAAGAUGGAGAGAUGAAAGGGGUGGUGGAGAGGAGACAUGAGGGAGACAAUGAAAGUAAGGAGGCAGGUGUUAAUGACUGCAGGUGAUAGCCGGGGAACAUGAAAGAGAGAAAUCAAACCACUGAGAGGAAGUAGAGGUCACCCAACGAAUCAUUAUUUUCAUUGUUGAGGAUCCUGUCAGCUGUUUUCUCAGUAAAUCGAUCAAAUAUUCAAUCUGUCAAGCUGAAAAUGUCCUUCACAGUUUCCUAGAGCCAACAGUCUAAACACCA